rnacentral:rRNA from 1 species
AGAGUUUGAUCCUGGCUCAGGAUGAACGCUGGCGGCGUGCCUAAUACAUGCAAGUCGAGCGGAAGAUUUAGCAAUAGAUCUUUAGCGGCGAACGGGUGAGUAACGCGUUGGUGACCUGCCUCGAAGAUUGGGAUAACAGUUCGAAAGGACUGCUAAUACCGGAUGUGAUCCUGGAGAUUAGAAGCUCUGGGAUUAAAGGAGCAAUCCACUUCGAGAGGGGCCUGCGUCCCAUCAGCUAGUUGGUAAGGUAAAGGCUUACCAAGGCGAUGACGGGUAGGGGACCUGAGAGGGUGGCCCCCCACAAUGGAACUGAAACACGGUCCAUACACCUACGGGUGGCAGCAGUAGGGAAUAUUGCAUAAUGGGCGAAAGCCUGAUGCAGCAACGCCGCGUGUGCGAUGAAGGCCUUCGGGUCGUAAAGCACUUUUGAAGGGGAUGAGGAAGGACAGUACCCUUCGAAUAAGCUUCGGCUAACUACGUGCCAGCAGCCGCGGUAAAACGUAGGAAGCGAGCGUUAUCCCGGAUUUACUGGGCGUAAAGCGCGUGUAGGCGGUCCUGUAAGUUGGAUGUGAAAGCUCCUGGCUUAACUGGGAGAGGUCGUUCAAAACUGCGAGACUAGAGGAUGGGAGAGGGAAGUGGAAUUCUGGGUGUAGUGGUGAAAUGCGUAGAUAUCCGGAGGAACACCAGUGGCGAAAGCGGCUUCCUGGCCCAUAACUGACGCUCAGACGCGAAAGCUAGGGGAGCGAACGGGAUUAGAGACCCCGGUAGUCCUAGCUGUAAACGAUGUGGACUUGGCGUUGGGCGGGUUUAAAUCCGU